CAGGGAGAAGGUGGAAGUGCAGA
rnacentral:miRNA from 1 species